rnacentral:rRNA from 1 species
GAUGAACGCUGGCGGCGUGCCUAAUACAUGCAAGUCGAGCGAACAGACGAGGAGCUUGCUCCUUCGACGUUAGCGGCGGACGGGUGAGUAACACGUAGGUAACCUACCUAUAAGACUGGGAUAACUUCGGGAAACAGGAGCUAAUACCGGAUAAUAUUUCGAACCGCAUGGUUCGAUAGUGAAAGAUGGCUUUGCUAUCACUUAUAGAUGGACCUGCGCCGUAUUAGCUAGUUGGUAAGGUAACGGCUUACCAAGGCAACGAUACGUAGCCGACCUGAGAGGGUGAUCGGCCACACUGGAACUGAGACGCGGUCCAGACUCCUACGGGAGGCAGCAGUAGGGAAUCUUCCGCAAUGGGCGAAAGCCUGACGGAGCAACGCCGCGUGAGUGAUGAAGGUCUUCGGAUCGUAAAACUCUGUUAUUAGGGAAGAACAAACGUGUAAGUAACUGUGCACGUCUUGACGGUACCUAAUCAGAAAGCCACGGCUAACUACGUG